UCCACAUGGAUGCUGGCCCAUGUUGACUCUACAAGGUGUUGAAAGUGUUCCACAGGGAUGCUGGCCCAUGUUGACUCUACAAGGUGUUGAAAGUGUUCCACAGGGAUGCUGGCCCAUGUUGACUCUACAAGGUGUUGAAAGUGUUCCACAGGGAUGCUGGCCCAUGUUGACUCUACAAGGUGUUGAAAGCGUUCCACAGGGAUGCUGGCCCAUGUUGACUCUACAAGGUGUUGAAAGUGUUCCACAGGGAUGCUGGCCCAUGUUGACUCUACAAGGUGUCUAAAGCGUUCCACAGGGAUGCUGGCCCAUGUUGACUCUACAAGGUGUCGAAAGCGUUCCACAGGGAUGCUGGCCCAUGUUGACUCUACAAGGUGUCGAAAGCGUUCCACAGGGAUGCUGGCCCAUGUUGACUCUACAAGGUGUCGAAAGCGUUCCACAGGGAUGCUGGCCCAUGUUGACUCUACAAGGUGUCGAAAGCGUUCCACAGGGAUGCUGGCCCAUGUUGACUCUACAAGGUGUUGAAAGCGUUCCACAGGGAUGCUGGCCCAUGUUGACUCUACAAGGUGUCGAAAGCGUUCCACAGGGAUGCUGGCCCGUGUUGAAUCCAAUGCUUCCCACCGUUGUCAAGUUGGCCUGAUGUCCUCUGGGUAGUGGACCAUUCUUGAUAUACAGUGCAUCUACACAUUUUGUUACGUUAGAUUUAUUCUAAACUGGAUUAAACAUUCUGUACACAAUACCCCAUAAUGACAAAGUGAAAAAUAGUUUUUAGAAAAUUUAGCUAAUUUAAAAAAUAAAAAAUAAAGUAUUUACAUAAGUAUUCAGACCCUUUGCUAUGUGACUCGAAAUUGAGCUCAGGUACAUCCUGUUUCCAUUGAUCAUCCUUGAUGUUUUUACCACAGUACAUGUGGUAAAUUCAAUUGAUUGGUCAUGAUUUGGCAAGGCACACACACCUGUCUAUAUAAGGUCCCACAGUUGACAGUGCAUGUCAGAGCAAAAACCAAGCCAUGAGGUGGAAGGUAUUGUCCGUAGAGUGCCGAGACAGGAUUGUUUGAGGCACAGAUCUGGGGAAGGGUACCAAAACAUCUCUGCAGCAUUGAAGGUCCCAAGAACACAGUGGCCUUGGAACCACCAAGACUCUUCCUAGAGCUGGCUGCCCGGCCAAACUGAGCAAUGGGGGAGAAGGGCCUUGGUCAGGGAGGUGACCAAGAACCCGAUGGUCCCUCUGACAGAGCUCCAGAGUUCCUCCGUAGAGAUGGGAGAAGCUUCCAGAAGGACAACCAUCUCUGCAGCACUCCACCAAUCAGGCCUUUAUGGUAGAGUGGCCAGAUGGAAGCCACUCCUCAUUAAAAGGCACAUGACAGUCUGCUUGGAGUUUGCAAAAAGGCACCUCAAGGACUCUCAGACCAUGACAAACAAGAUUCCCUGGUCUGGUGGAACCAAAAUUGAAAUCCUUGGCCUGAAUGCCAAGGGUCACGUCUGGAGAAAACAUGGCACCAUCCCUACGGUGAAGCAUGGUGGUGGCAGCAUCAUGUCUGGAGGAAACUUGGCACCAUCCCUACGGUGAAGCAUGGUGUUGGCAGCAUCACGUCUGGAGAAAACAUGGCACCAUCCCUACGGUGAAGCAUGGUGUUGGCAGCAUCACGUCUGGAGAAAACAUGGCACCAUCACUACGGUGAAGCAUGGUGGUGGCAGCAUCACGUCUGGAGAAAACAUGGCAGCAUCACGUCUGGAGGAAACCUGGCACCAUCACUACGGUGAAGCAUGGUGGUGGCAGCAUCAUGUCUGGAGGAAACCUGGCACCAUCCCUACGGUGAAGCAUGGUGGUGGCAGCAUCAUGCUGUGGGGAUGACGCCCACAUCAUAGCUAAGAGUGUGCGACAGCUCAUUGCUCACUCUGACACACUGAGUUCUGCCUCCAAGGUAUUAUUUCAUCCAUCUCAAGGCAUCGGGGGAAAGUUGAACUUGGACAAUUAUGUGAUGAGAACCUGAUGGUUCACAGUAUCAAACGCCUUCCUUAGGUCCAGAAAACACAGCCCCAACAACGCCCCCUUUGUCCAUCUUGGACUUGACAUUUUCCUGAAGAAAGCAGUGUAUGUUGUUGUAUAUUAGUUAUAAUACCAAUGCAUUGAUUAUGUCAAUGUUUACAGGAAAGCAUCGUUCCCU